CUGCUGCCUUCCGUAGGAGUCUGGGCCGUGUCUCAGUCCCAAUGUGGCCGUCCGCCCUCUCAGGCCGGCUACCGAUCGUCGCCUUGGUGGGCCGCUGCCCCGCCAACAAGCUAAUCGGACGCGGACCCAUCGCAUGCCGGGAUUGCUCCCUUUCCGCACUGCGCCAUGCGGCGCCGUGCGCAUAUGCGGUAUUAGCAGCUGUUUCCAGCUGGUAUCCCCCUGCAUGCGGCAGGUU
rnacentral:rRNA from 1 species